rnacentral:rRNA from 1 species
CCUACGGGAGGCAGCAGUGAGGAAUAUUGGUCAAUGGCCGGAAGGCUGAACCAGCCAUGCCGCGUGAAGGUCAGUGCCCUAUGGGCGUUAAACUUCUUUUGUGCGGGAGCAAUAAUGGUCACGUGUGGCCAGACGAGAGUACCGUACGAAUAAGCAUCGGCUAACUCCGGGCCAGCAGCCGCGGUUAUACGGGGGAUGCAAGCGUUAUCCGGAUUUAAUGGGGUUAAAGGGUGCGUAGGCUGGUAGGUAAGUCAGCGGUGAAAAGCCCCCGCUCAACGGGGUGAAGUGCCAUUGAUACUGGCUUGCUGGAAUGCAGAUGCGGUGGGAGGAAUGUGUGGUGUAGCGGUGAAAUGCAUAGAUAUCACACAGAACACCGAUUGCGAAGGCAGCUCACGAAUCCGCGAUUGACGCUGAUGCACGAAAGCGUGGGUAUCAAACAGGAUUAGAUACCCUUGUAGUC